UUUGGCUGUUCGCCAAUUAAAAAGGUACGCGAGCUGGGUUCAGACCGUCGAAAAGCGAAGCUUUUCGACAAGUAAAAAGUUAUAAAGUCGAAAGUAAAAAGUUUGGCUGAUCGACAGUUUGAACCCUCAGAGGCUAAAACAUUUGCUUUGCAAAUGUUCGCCCGAACCUAGAACAAACGAAGUUUGUUCGGUUUUAGGGAAGAAAAAAUUACUGUUUUAAUCGAAGACAACCAAGUGCAUUAAAUUGCACACACGGCGGCGUCCCGAUGUAAAUCGGGAUGGCAAGCUAAUUUAUAUCGGAGAAAUCCCUAGAACUUUUGUAAACAAAAGUUCGGGCGAUAGUUUGCUUUGCAAAUUAUUUAGCCUACUAAAUUUUUAGGGAUAACGCCGAGGGAAUUCCCAUAAAUGGGAUGCCCGUAGAGACUGAAUGUUAGACAUCCUGAGCUUGUCGAAGGAUGAUGUCACAGUCCAAUCCCACGAGUAAUCGUGGACAUCCUAACCCGAUAGCGGGCGGAUAAAUAGAUGCGUGAGACAGGUUGGUCUCCUAUCUACUGCACUCGUUGAUUCUUGAAAAGAUCUGCUUCUAGUACGAGAGGACCGAAGUGGACUGACCUCUGGUGUGCCUGCUGUUCUGCCAAGAGCAAUGCAGGGUAGCUAUGUCGGGAAUGGAUAACCUCUGAAAGCAUCUAAGAGGGAAGCCAGCUUUAAGAUUAGGAAUCGUUAAGAACCGUGAGAGAUGAUCACGUUGAUAGGCUUUAAGUGUAAGGCGAGUAAUCGCUUGAGCUGAGAAGUACUAAUGUUUCGAUU
rnacentral:rRNA from 1 species